UCGAGAGGCUUCGGCAAUGGGGGAAACCCUGAAGGAGCGACGCCGCGUGAGGGAUGAAGGUCUUCGGAUUGUAAACCUCUGUCAUCUGGGAACAAUGUCAUCUACCUAACACGUGGAUGAUUGAUAGUACCGGAAGAGGAAGCAGUGGCUAACUCUGUGCCAGCAGCCGCGGUAAUACAGAGACUGCAAGCGUUGUUCGGAUUCAUUGGGCGUAAAGGGUGCGCAGGCGGUGUGUUAAGUCGGAUGUGAAAUCUCACAGCCUAACUGUGAUAGGUCAUUCGAAACUGGCAUGCUCGAGGACUGGAGAGGAGACUGGAAUGGUCGGUGUAGCGGUGAAAUGCGUAGAGAUCGACCAGAACACCGGUGGCGAAGGCGGGUCUCUGGACAGUUCCUGACGCUCAGGCACGAAAGCCAGGGGAGCAAACGGGAUUAGAUACCCCGGUAGUCCUGGCCCUAAACGGUGUUCACUUGGUGUGCGGGGAGUCGACCCCCUGCGUGCCGCAGCUAACGCGAUAAGUGAACCGCCUGGGAAGUACGGCCGCAAGGCUA
rnacentral:rRNA from 1 species